UACGUAGGGUGCAAGCGUUAAUCGGAAUUACUGGGCGUAAAGCGUGCGCAGGCGGUUUUGUAAGUCUGUCGUGAAAGCCCUCGGCUCAACCGAGGAAGUGCGCCCGAAACUGCAGAGCUUGAGUACCGGAGAGGAUGGCGGAAUUCCCCAAGUAGAGGUGAAAUUCGUAGAUAUGGGGAGGAACACCGGUGGCGAAGGCGGCCAUCUGGACGGAUACUGACGCUGAGACGCGAAAGCGUGGGGAGCAAACAGG
rnacentral:rRNA from 1 species